GCGCACGUGGUGGAAUUGGUAGACACGCCAGCUUGAGGGGCUGGUGACCGUUUAGGUCGUGCAGGUUCAAGUCCUGUCGUGCGCA
rnacentral:tRNA from 1 species